rnacentral:lncRNA from 1 species
CGCCACCCCACUCGCCCGACUUCCUCUCGCGUGUCUCUCUCCCUCCCGUUGCCCUCUCCACAGCUUCCUCCCUUCGCUGCUGCCGCUCUCACCUCAGUCGCCGCCGCCGCCGUGGAUCUCGGCCACCGCCGCGGCCAUACUCAUCUCGCGGGCUACCGCACACAUCUCGCGCUGCCACCGCCGCAGUCACGAUCACCUCGGCCGCCGCCGCCACUGCACUAACCUCGGCCGCCAUUUUCUCGCCUCGAUCUUCUCUCGCCCCUCGCCUU